AUGCUGGCGACCGCCACACGGGUGCGGAACACCUACACCCCCUUCUUCUUUUUGGGGAAUAACCCCCAUAAAAUUUUAUUAUUACCCCCCCUCAUUAUUAUGUGGGAUCACAUUAUAUAUUAUAUCUCCCGCGCUUAUUGAUGGGUGUGCGGCUGAUUAUGUAGUUGGUGGGGUAACGGCCCCCCCCCCCCCCGAUCACUAACUGGUGUGAGAGAACCACCACUCACACGGGCACUGAGACACAGGCCCGACUCCUACGGGAGGGAGCACUCAGGACUAUCGGGCAAUGGAUGCAACUCUGACUCACCCAUGCCGCGUGGACGAUGAAGGCCCUCUGGGUUGUAAACUACUUUUAUUUGGGACGAAAAAGGGCUUUUCUAAGUCAACUGACGGCACCACAUGACUAAUCACCGCCUAACUCCGUGCCAGCAGCCGCGGUAAUACGGAGGGUGCGAGCGUUAUCCGGAUUCACUGGGCUCAAAGGGUGCGUAGGUGGGUUGGUAAGUCAGUGGUGAAAUCCUCGAGCUUACCUUGGGAACUGCCAUUGAUACUAUCAGUCUCGAAUAUUGCGGAGGCCAGCGGAACAUGUCAUGUAGCGGCGAAACGCUUAGAUACGACAUAUAACACCAAUUGCGAAGGCAGCUGGCUACUCUUAUAUUGACACUGAGGCACGAAAGCGUGGGGACCAACAGGAUUAGAUCCCUGGCAGUCCACGCCUGAACUAU
rnacentral:rRNA from 1 species